rnacentral:rRNA from 1 species
CCUACGGGUGGCAGCAGUGAGGAAUUUUGGUCAAUGGGCGAGAGCCUGAACCAGCCAAGUCGCGUGAAGGAUGACGGCCCUACGGGUUGUAAACUUCUUUUGUCAGGGAGCAAUUGGGUCCACGCGUGGGCUUAGCGAGAGUACCUGAAGAAAAAGCUUCGGCUAACUCCGUGCCUGCAGCCGCGGUAAUACGGAGGAUGCAAUCGUUAUCCGGAUUUAUUGGGGUUAAAGGGUGCGUAGGCGGAAUAACAAGUCAGCGGUAAAAAUUGGGGGCUCAAACCCGUCGUACCGUUGAAACGGAUGUUGUUGAGUGGGCGAGAAGGAUGCGGAAAGCGUGGUG